AUUGAACGCUGGCGGUAUGCCUUACACAUGCAAGUCGAGCGGCAGCGCGGGGGCAACCCUGGCGGCGAGCGGCGAACGGGUGAGUAAUGCAUCGGAACGUAUCCUCGAGUGGGGGAUAACCCAGCGAAAGAUGGGCUAAUACCGCAUUAGCUCUGAGGAGGAAAGCGGGGGACCUGCGAGGGCCCCGCGCUGGCGCGGCGGCCGAUGCCCGAUUAGAUAGUUGGUGGGGUAAAGGCUUACCAAGGCGACGAUCGGUAGCUGGUCUGAGAGGAUGAUCAGCCACACUGGGACUGAGACACGGCCCAGACUCCUACGGGAGGCAGCAGUGGGGAAUAUUGGACAAUGGGGGCAACCCUGAUCCAGCCAUGCCGCGUGAGUGAAGAAGGCCUUCGGGUUGUAAAGCUCUUUUGGUCGGAACGAAAAGCACCAGACUAAUACCCCUCUCUUCUGACGGUACCGAAAGAAGAAGCACCGGCUAACUUCGUG
rnacentral:rRNA from 1 species